rnacentral:ncRNA from 1 species
UUGUUAUCGGGGCAAACCUAAUGAAAGUUAGGGACGCAAAGCCAUGGGUCUAAGGCACUUUAUUGUAUAUAUAAUUAAAUUGCUAGGACUGCCAGGCUGCCGCA